AUUGAACGCUGGCGGCAGGCCUAACACAUGCAAGUCGAGCGGAAGAAGGGAGCUUGCUCCUGGAUUCAGCGGCGGACGGGUGAGUAAUGCCGAGGAAUCUACCUGGUAGUGGGGGAUAACGUCCGUAAACGGGCGCUAGUACCGCAUACGUCGUGAGGUAGAAAGUGGGGGAUCUUCGGACCUCACGCUAUCAGAUGAGCCUAGGUCGGAUUAGCUAGUUGGUGGGGUAAAGGCCUACCAAGGCGACGAUCCGUAACUGGUCUGAGAGGAUGAUCAGUCACACUGGAACUGAGACAAGGUACAGACCACUAUGGGAGGCAGCACUGGGGAAUAUUGGACUAUGGGAUAAACCCUGAUCCAGCCAUGCCGCGUGUCUGAAGAAGGUCUUCGGCUUGUAAAGCUCUUUAAGUUGGGAGGAAGGGCAGUAAGUUAAUCCCUUGCUGUUUUGACGUUACCAAAAGAAUAAGCACCGGCUAACUUCGUG
rnacentral:rRNA from 1 species